GAGAAUAUGAAUAUAGAUGAAGCAGCCAACUGUCUGGUGAAGCACAUCAUCGCCAACGAGAAUGAUAUCAUCCAAUCAGAAGUCCCUGACACCGUCUCUCCACAAUUAAACUCUGACAGGGGUGGGACAUGUUCCUCCUGUUUCAAAUCAUAGAACAGCUCCACCACCAUCACUACACACACCACCAUCACUACACACACCACCAUCAAUACACACCACCACCAUCACUACACACCACCACCAUCACUACACACACCACCAUCACUACACACCACCACCAUCACUACACACCACCACCAUCACUACACACCACCACCAUCACUACACAAAAAACACCAUCACUACACACACCACCACCACUACACACACCAUCACCAUCACUACACAAAAAACACCAUCACUAGACACACCACCAUCACUACACACACCACCACCAUCACUACACACACCACCACCAUCACUACACACACACCACCAUCACUACACACACACCACCAUCACUACACACACACCACCAUCACUACACACACCACCAUCACUACACACCAACACCAUCACUACACACACCACCACCGUCACUACACACACCACCACCAUCACUACACACACCACCACCAUCACUACACACACCACCAUCACUACACACACCACCAUCACUACACACACCACCAUCACUACACACACUACCACCACCAUCACUACACACACUACCACCACCAUCACUACACACCACCACCAUCACUACAAACCACCACCACCACCACUACACACGACCACCAUCACUACACACACCACCACCAACACACCACCACCAUCACUACACACACAACCACUACACACACAACCACCACCACUACACACACCACCACCAUCACUACACACCACCACCAUCACUACACACCACCACCACCAUCACUAGACACACCACCAUCACUACACACCACCACCACCACUACACACCACCACCAUCACUACACACACCACCACUACACACACCACCAACAUCACUACACACACCACCACCACCACACACACCACCACCACUACACACCACCACCACCACCACUACACACACCACCACCACUACACCCCAACACCACCAUGAAUACACACCAACACCACCAUGACUACACACCACCACCUCCAUCACUACACACACCACCACCUCCAUCACUAGACACACCACCACCACCACUUCACACACCACCAUCACUAAACACAACCACCACCACUACACACCACCACCACCACCACUACACACUCCACCACCAUUACACACCAUCACAACACACCAACACCACCACUACACACCACCAACACCAUCACUACACACACCAACACCACCAUGACUACACACCACCACCAUCACUACACACCACCACCUCCAACACUACACACACCACCAACACACUACACACCACCAUUACUACACACACCACCACCACCAUCACUACACACCACCACCACCAACACCACCACCACUACACACCACCAACACCAUCACUACACACACCAACACCAUCACUACACACACCAACACCACCAUGACUACACACCACCACCAUCACUACACACCACCACCUCCAUCACUACACACACCACCACCACACUACACACCACCAUCACUACACACCACCACUACUACACACACCACCACCACCACCAUCACUACACACACCACCAUCACUACACACCACCACCACCAACACCACCACCACUACACACCACCACUACACACCACCACCAUCACUACACACCACCACCACCACUACACACCACUACACACACCACCACCACCACCACUACACACCACCACCACUACACACCACCACCACUACACACACCACCACUACACACACCACCACUACACAC
rnacentral:lncRNA from 1 species